rnacentral:piRNA from 1 species
UGUUCUCUUCUAGAGUCAAUGCACCUGUUAUU